rnacentral:rRNA from 1 species
ACUCCUACGGGAGGCAGCAGUGGGGAAUAUUGCACAAUGGGGGAAACCCUGAUGCAGCCAUGCCGCGUGUGUGAAGAAGGCCUUCGGUUGUAAAGCACUUUCAGUAGGGAGGAAGGUAGUGUAGUUAAUACCUGCAUUAUUUGACGUUACCUACAGAAGAAGCACCGGCUAACUCCGUGCCAGCAGCCGCGGUAAUACGGAGGGUGCGAGCGUUAAUCGGAAUUACUGGGCGUAAAGCGCAUGCAGGCGGCCUGUUAAGUCAGAUGUGAAAGCCCGGGGCUUAACCUCGGAAUUGCAUUUGAAACUGGCAGGCUAGAGUCUUGUAGAGGGGGGUAGAAUUUCAGGUGUAGCGGUGAAAUGCGUAGAGAUCUGAAGGAAUACCAGUGGCGAAGGCGGCCCCCC